AGUGAACGCUGGCGGUAGGCCUAACACAUGCAAGUCGAACGGCAGCACAGUAAGAGCUUGCUCUUACGGGUGGCGAGUGGCGGACGGGCGAGGAAUACAUCGGAAUCUACUUUUUCGUGGGGGAUAACGUAGGGAAACUUACGCUAAUACCGCAUACGAUCUACGGGUGAAAGCAGGGGAUCUUCGGACCUUGCGCGAUUGAAUGAGCCGAUGUCGGAUUAGCUAGUUGGCGGGGUAAAGGCCCACCAAGGCGACGAUCCGUAGCUGGUCUGAGAGGAUGAUCAGCCACACUGGAACUGAGACACGGUCCAGACUCCUACGGGAGGCAGCAGUGGGGAAUAUUGGACAAUGGGCGCAAGCCUGAUCCAGCCAUACCGCGUGAGUGAAGAAGGCCUUCGGGUUGUAAAGCCCUUUUGUUGGGAAAGAAAAGCAGCAGGUUAAUACCCCGCUGUUCUGACGGUACCCAAAGAGUAAGCACCGGCUAACUUCGUG
rnacentral:rRNA from 1 species